rfam:Ochrobactrum anthropi ATCC 49188 chromosome 2, complete sequence.
GUGAGUCCUAAUGCAUGUCUCCCAAAAGUGGGAACCGGUUUUGGGAUAAAGACAUGCAUGAAAACAAAAGCUUAAAGCGUAUUGUAAGAGUACGAUAAAACGCGAUACGCUUUUGAGGAGGUUGUAAUGCAGGUGGGCAAUGCCCGUUACAGAACGGGCGCCGAUAUACCCGAGACCGUGCCGGUUUUCCCGU